rnacentral:rRNA from 1 species
GAUUAACGCUGGCGGCGUGCAUAACACAUGCAAGUCGAACGAAGUGGCGGACGGGUGAGUAACGCGUGAGUAACCUGCCUUAGAGAAGGGGAUAGCCUUUGGAAACGAAGAAUAAUACCCUAUCCUCGAAGAUGGACGUGCGUCUGAGUGGUUAGUUGGUGGGGUAACGGACAACCAAGACAGCGAUCAGUAGCCGGCGUGAGAGAGGGUACGGCCACAUUGGGACUGAGACACGGCCCAGACUCUACGGGAGGCAGCAGUGGGGAAUUUUGCACAAUGGUGGAAACCCUGAAGCAGAGACGCCGCGUGAUUUAGAAGGGCUUCGGGUUGUAAAAAUCUCUCUCAAGGGAAGUAGUAACUGACCUUUCUAGGAGGGUAGAUGAGGAGGAAGCCCCGGCUAACUAUGUGCCAGCAGCCGCGGUAAUAC